AUUGAACGCUGGCGGCAUGCUUUACACAUGCAAGUCGAACGGUAACAGGCCGCAAGGUGCUGACGAGUGGCGAACGGGUGAGUAAUGCAUCGGAACGUGCCCAGUCGUGGGGGAUAACGCAGCGAAAGCUGUGCUAAUACCGCAUACGAUCUAUGGAUGAAAGCGGGGGACCGUAAGGCCUCGCGCGAUUGGAGCGGCCGAUGUCAGAUUAGGUAGUUGGUGGGGUAAAGGCCUACCAAGCCGACGAUCUGUAGCUGGUCUGAGAGGACGACCAGCUACACUGGGACUGAGACACGGCCCAGACUCCUACGGGAGGCAGCAGUGGGGAAUUUUGGACAAUGGGCGCAAGCCUGAUCCAGCAAUGCCGCGUGCGGGAAGAAGGUCUUCGGGUUGUAAACUGCUUUUGUACGGAGCGAAAAGGCUCUGGUUAAUACCUGGGGCUCAUGACGGUACCGUAAGAAUAAGCACCGGCUAACUACGUGCCAGCAGCCGCGGUAAAAC
rnacentral:rRNA from 1 species